ACCGCCUGGGGAGUACGGUCGCAAGAUUAAAACUCAAAUGAAUUGACGGGGGCCCGCACAAGCGGUGGAGCAUGUGGUUUAAUUCGAUGCAACGCGAAGAACCUUACCUACUCUUGACAUCCAGAGAACUUUCCAGAGAUGGAUUGGUGCCUUCGGGAACUCUGAGACAGGUGCUGCAUGGCUGUCGUCAGCUCGUGUCGGGAGAUGUUG
rnacentral:rRNA from 1 species